UUGGUCAAUGGCCUAACGGUGGAACCCAGCCACUUGGGGGACGAAUAGCUUCGGCUAGUUAUACUGGUAAUAUAUUUUGUUAUAUAUAAUAUAAAAAUUAUUAAUAAUAAGUUAUGUUUUUUUUAGUAGACUAAUAAAAAAAAGUUACCUGUUUGGUUACUUUUUUUGUUGUCACUAUACACUAUGUUGAAGAAAGAUAUAGUGAUUAAGUUUAUCACUCAUGAGAUUCUCGUGCGUGGACAGUAUAAUAUCGAUUUAUUUGAGUAAAAUUCUAGGUAGUAGUUUAAUGAUUAUGACAGUCUACUAUUUAUAUGUCUUGACCAAAUUACGUGCCAGCAGUCGCGGUAAUACGUAAAAGACUAGUGUUAUUCAUCUUUAAUAGGUUUAAAGGGUACCUAGACGGUAUAUUUAGUCUAAAAUAAGAUACUUUUAUACUAGAGUUAGAUAUAAGGAGGGGCGUAUUUGUGGAGUAGAGUUGAAAUUCAUUGAUACCACAAGGUACUGGUAAAGGCGAAGGCAACCUUUUAUGUAAUAACUGACGUUGAGGGACGAAGGCUUUGGUAACGAACAGGAUUAGAUACCCUAGUAGUCUUUGCAGAGAAUGAUGAAUGCCAUGGAUUAGAUUAUUAUUUAGUUCAUAAAUUAAAGUGUAAGCAUUUCACCUCAAGAGUAAUUUGGCAACAUUGAAACUGAAAUCAUUAGACCGUUUCUGAAACCAGUAGUGAAGUAUGUUGUUUAAUUCGUAAGUACGCGAAAAACCUUACCACAACUUGAAUAUUAUCUUAAUUGAUAUUACAAGCGUUGCACGGCUGUCUUAAGUUAAUGUCGUGAGAUAUUGGUUAAUUCCAUGCAAUUAACGGAAACCCUAGCUUUAUUUUAAUAAAUAAAAAAAAAUAUUUAUUUUAAUAAAUAAAAAAAAAUAAAUAAAAAAAAAAUAAAUAAAGCUGUUCACCUCUAUAUUGGAUAUGAUAACAGGGACCAAGUCAAGUCAUCAUGGCCUAUGGUGGGCUA
rnacentral:rRNA from 1 species